UCUCUCUCUCUCACACACACUCACACACACACUCUAUGUCUCUCUCUCUCUCUGUUGUUGUUCAGCUCGACGCGGAGCUAACAGUAGCUCGCAGCUAAGCUAACAGAUGUCCUCUCCUCUGUCCGGGCUCGGCGAUCAUUAACCCGGUGUCCUCGGUGUCCUCUCGUCCCCUGUGCAGCUCGCUGCUCUUAUCAUGUCCCAGCUAAGCGCACAGUGUUAUUGACAUUAGCUCCGGCUGUUAGCCUCCACUCUGUUUACGUGUAUGGACGGGUUAGCAGGAGAGCUAAUAGCGCAGUUAGCCGCUGCCUCUUGUCGUCGCGCACGGUGUUAAUUUAACAAAUGUCCCGUGUUUUGUCCCCGGACAUGUGUCUCCGUGUCCACACCGCGCAGUCCGGGACUCUCAGUCCGCAUAGCUAGCGUUAGCUGUUGGAGUCCGAUGUCUUUGUUGUGUGACCAGCUCUGUUAGCAGGACAGUUAGCAGAUGCUAGGCUAACCCGGCUGGUCUCGCGUAGUUUUUUUUUUGUUACGUUCGCAUUUCACAGUUGUGGUUCUUAACAUGCAGCUGUGACGUCACUGGUCAUCACCCGGCAUCAUCACCAUGGCCAUGACGUCAGUGUACGUCAUAAACUUGCUCGUUCUGUCAGGAUGCAUUGCUGCCCCUCAGAUGAGCGACAACGUCUACGUGUCGGGAAUCUCCAGCGCGUGCAGUGAUGUGGCCGAGCUCCUGCGAGCGUCCAGUGGCAUCAUCACCAGCCCGGGCUGGCCGUUCCAGUAUCCUGCCAGACUCAACUGCAGCUGGAACAUCAGAGCUCGACCUGGAGACACCAUCACCAUCAGUUUCCAGGACUUUGACCUGCAGGGUUCACACCGCUGCUCCUCAGACUGGAUGUCCAUCAGCAGCUACAGGAGUCUGGACGGUCUGAGGGUGUGUGGCUCCUCCCUGCCUCCUCCGUACAUCUCCUCCCAGGACCACGUUUGGAUCCACUUCCACUCUGACGACAUUUUGGCGGGAAAAGGCUUCAGACUGUCCUAUAUCACAGGUAAAGCGGAGGCGUCCAGCUGUGACGUGGACCAGUUCCACUGCUCUAACGGGAAGUGUGUCCCUGACUGGUGGCGCUGUAACUCCAUGGACGAGUGUGGGGACAAUUCAGACGAGGAGCUGUGUGUGGACUCGCCCUUCUCCUUCCAGCCCUGCAGCCUCAACCAGUUCCCCUGUCUGUCGCGCUACACCCGCAUCUACACCUGCCUGCCCCACAGCCUGCGCUGCGACGGCAGCAUCGACUGCCAGGAUCUCGGCGAUGAGAUCGACUGUGACGUUCCCACCUGUGGAGAACGGUUGAGGAACUUCUACGGUUCCUUCACUUCUCCAAACUACCCCGACUUCUACCCUCCAGGAAGUAACUGCACCUGGCUGAUCGACACCGGAGACCACAGAAAGGUGAUCCUGAGGUUCACGGACUUUAAACUGGACGGGACGGGUUACGGCGACUACGUGAAAGUGUACGACGGUCUGGAGGAGAACCCUCGCCGUCUGCUCCGGGUGUUGACCGCCUUCGACUCCAGAGCUCCGGUGGCUGUGGUGUCGUCGUCCGGGCAGCUGCGCGUCCACUUCUACGCUGACAAGAUCAACGCGGCCCGCGGCUUCAACGUCACCUACCAGGUGGACGGGUUCUGCCUCCCCUGGGAGGUUCCCUGUGGGGGGAACUGGGGCUGUUACACUGAGCAGCAGCGCUGUGACGGAUACUGGCACUGUCCCAACGGUCGGGACGAGCUCAACUGUUCAUCGUGUCAAGAGGACGAGUUCCCGUGUUCCAGGAACGGAGCGUGUUACCCACGAUCGGACCGCUGCAACUAUCAGAACCGCUGCCCUAACGGGUCUGAUGAGAAGAACUGCUUUUUCUGCCAGCCUGGAAACUUCCACUGCAAGAACAACCGCUGCGUGUUUGAGUCGUGGGUCUGCGACGCCCAGGACGACUGCGGCGACGGCAGCGACGAGGAGAGCUGCCCCGUCAUCGUCCCCACCAGAGUCAUCACUGCCGCCGUCAUCGGCAGCCUGAUCUGUGGCCUCCUGCUGGUCAUCGCCCUCGGCUGCACCUGCAAACUCUACUCUCUGCGCAUGUUUGAACGCAGGUCCUUCGAGACACAGCUCUCCAGAGUGGAGGCGGAGCUCCUGAGGAGGGAAGCCCCACCCUCUUAUGGUCAGCUGAUUGCCCAGGGCCUGAUCCCGCCUGUGGAGGAUUUCCCAGUGUGCUCUGGGAGUCAGGCGUCCGUGCUUGAGAACCUGCGUCUGGCCGUUCGCUCGCAGCUCGGUUUUACCUCCCUCAGACUCCCCUCCUCCACUCGUCAUAGCAACCUGUGGCACCGCCUCUUCACCUUCUCUCGGUCUCGGCGGUCGGGCUCUUUGGCUCUGGUCUCAGCUGAUCUGGAGGACAGCGCUGGUUCUGGGAGCAGUGGGAGUUCCGGUUCAGACCUGCUGUCUCCGGACUCUGACGACACAGACACAGAGGGCGAGCGAGGGAGAGAGAGAGGCGUCGGUGCUGUGGGCGGGCCCGUGGCCCCGCUUCCCCAGAAGACCCCGCCCUCCACUGCUGUAGAGGCCGUCGUCUCCGUGACGACAUCUGCGACCUCCAUGACCCCGAUACAGAGCCGAGACCGAUGCCGUGACCGUCCCAGAGAAGCCCCGCCUCCAUCCAGCCCCGUCACCCUGGCAACAACAAAUCCAGAUCCAGAAUGCCAAAAUGACGCCUCAGAGCUCCAGACCCCGCCCACCUCUGCCUUGCAGCGCCUAGCCCAGAACCUUCACCGCCUUGCAAGAAACCUCACCAGAACCAGUCAGAACCAGACAUGGACCAAUCACAGCCCGCUGCGUCAGCUGGAGACAGGAAGACACGGGGCGGAUGCCGGCGAGCGGCGAGGGAGCCGAGAGGACGAAGAAGACGUGGAGCUUCUCAUCCCCGUGUCUGACUCUGACUCCUCCUCCUCGUCCUCAUUGGUGUGUGACGUCCAACAGCCACUGCUAGAGCCACACCUCUCCUCCAACAUGGGCCACGCCCCCCGCCAUCACAGAGGAAGCAGUGGUCGAGGAGGGCGUGAUGGUCCGUGUGAACACUGUGGGAUGGUCCACACGGCUCAGGUCCCCGACGUUUGCCUGGAGGCCACGGGCAAAAUGGAGAGCAGUGACGACGAGCUGCUGCUGCUCUGCUAACACGCUAAUGUUAGCUCACAUGCUAACUGACACAACUACUGCUGAUGUAACCUCAUCCUUACAACAUGCUAACGAAUUUAUACGAGUACUACAUUCAUCUAAAUGGCUAGCAUAGCUAGCCACCAUGCUAACAUUUCAUACUGGACAACAUCUAGCCCCUAUGCUAACAUUUCAUACUGGACAACAUCUAGCCACUAUACUUACAUUUCAUACUGGACAAUGGCUAGCCACUAUGCUAACAUUUCAUACUGGACAACGGCUAGCUAAUAUGCUAAUAUUUCAUACUGGACAACAGCUAGCUAAUAUGCUAACAUUUCAUACUGGACAACAGCUAGCUAAUGUGCUAACAUUUAAGACCACACAGUAGCUAGCAAAUAUGCUAACAUUUGAGACUGACAACAACUAGCCACUACGAAAGACCUGUUAGCAUGUGUUAGCAUGUUAGCCUCCAGUGAUGUCACUGACAAGAAGUUAAUGUUGGUGCGGUAAUGAAAACCUUCCCCUGGUCCGUCCUUUAAAGCGCUCCCCACCUGUUUGUUGGUACGACUGAAAACUGAGUCCUGACAGAAUAAACGCCACCCCCAUGUCCCCCUGUUGCUCUGUCACAGGAAAUGAUGAGAGGGUCAUGUGACUGAUGGAGGUUGCUGGACAACUGGUAGCUAAUGAAAAGUGCUAGCAGGCUAGUUUUAUAAAAGUUUCAAAAUGAUCUCAGCUCUAAUGAAUAAGAAGAAGAAGAAGUCGUACGACGUGGUAAAACAGCGGUAAUGCCGCGCUCGCAUGUUGCUGCUUCUCUUCAAACAUGGCAGGAUAACGUGCGACUGAUCUGCGACUGUGGAGACUUCGUUAUCAUCGGCCAUCAAAUCACAGUCAAACACAGUCCAGAUGUACAAGAGCGCCCUCCUGUGGUGGGAAAACAAACGCCAUGUCGCCAUCACUUUAGCAACAUUAGCAACUUAUGCUACAAUGGUUCUGCUAACUUCGGACUGACUCCUCAGAA